rnacentral:piRNA from 1 species
CAUUCUAAAAUCGUUUCCCUAAGC